GCCAGGCUUGGUGGCACGUGCCUGUAAUCCCAGCUACUUGGGAGGCUGAGGCAGGAGAAUUGCUUGAACCCAGGAGACAGAGGUUGCAGUGAGCCAAGAUCACGCCACUGCACUCCAGCCUGGGUAACAGAGCAAGACUCUGUCUCAA
rnacentral:SRP_RNA from 1 species